CUAGCGACUUCAGAGUUUGAUCCUGGCUCAGGAUGAACGCUAGCGGCAGGCUUAACACAUGCAAGUCGAGGGGCAGCAUAAACAUUGCUUGCAAUGUUUGAUGGCGACCGGCGCACGGGUGCGUAACGCGUAUGCAACCUACCCAUAACAGGGGGAUAACACUGAGAAAUUGGUACUAAUACCCCGUAAUAUUAUGAAAGGCAUCUUUUAUAGUUGAAAGUUCCGGCGGUUAUGGAUGGGCAUGCGUUGUAUUAGCUAGUUGGUGAGGUAACGGCUCACCAAGGCGACGAUACAUAGGGGACUGAGAGGUUAACCCCCACAUUGGUACUGAGACACGGACCAA
rnacentral:rRNA from 1 species